UUCGGAUAUGGAGUCAUAUAGACUUACUAAACCGAUGCAAACUACGAAUACCAAUGAGUGCAGCAUAAGAGACACACUAUGGGUGCUAACAUCCAUGGUGGAAAGGGAAAGAACCCAGACCGUCAGAUAAGGUCCCAAAAUCUUAGUUAAGUGGAAAACGAGGUGGGAAGACUAAGACAGCUAGGAGGUUGGCUUAGAAGCAGCCAUCCUUUAAAGAAAGCGUAAUAGCUCACUAGUAUAGUUCACCUGCGCGGAAAAUAUAACGGGGCUAAAACUAAGUGCCGAAGCUACGGGCUUAUAUAUUUAAAUAUAAGCGGUAGAGGAGCGUUGUGUAAGUCUGUGAAGGUAUAUUGUAAAAUAGGCUGGAGAUAUCACAAGCGCGAAUGCUGACAUGAGUAACGAUAAGGGAUGUGAGAAACAUCCCCGCCGAAAAACUAAGGGUUUCUGUUCAACGGUAAUCGGAGCAGAGUUAGUCGGUCCUAAGGUGAGGCUGAAAAGCGUAAUCGAUGGAAAACGGGUUAAUAUUCCCGUACCAUAUGUAAUUGCGAUGGGGGGACGGAGAAGGCUAGACGAGCCCAGCGUUGGUAGUCUGGGUGAAAGUAUGUAGGUUUAGAAAUUAGGUAAAUCCGAUUUCUUAAGAAAACUAAGGUAUGAGACGAAAUAUUGAAGUCGUUGAUGUCAUGCUUCCAGGAAAAGCCUCUAAGCUUCAGAUUACAUAUGACCGUACCAUAAACCGACACAGGUGGUUAGGUAGAGUAUACUAAGGCGUUUGAGAGAACUCGGGUGAAGGAACUAGGCAAAAUGGCACCGUAACUUCGGGAGAAGGUGCGCCGAAUUAUUGUAUAACCUUAAAACAGGGAAAGCAAGAAUCGGUCUCAGAUACCAGGUGGCUGCAACUGUUUAUUAAAAACACAGCACUCUGCUAACGCGUAAGCGGACGUAUAGGGUGUGACGCCUGCCCGGUGCUGGAAGGUUAAGAGGAGAUGUGAAAGCAUUGAAUUGAAGCCCCAGUAAACGGCGGCCGUAACUAUAACGGUCCUAAGGUAGCGAAAUUCCUUGUCGGGUAAGUUCCGACCUGCACGAAUGGCGUAAUGAUGGCCACACUGUCUCCAUCCGAGACUCAGUGAAAUUGAAAUUGCUGUGAAGAUGCGGUAUUCCCACGGCUAGACGGAAAGACCCCGUGAACCUUUACUAUAGCUUCAUAUUGAAAGUGGGUAUUAUUUGUGUAGAAUAGCUGGGAGACAAUGAAGUAAAAACGCAAGUUUUUAUGGAGUCAACAUUGAAAUACC
rnacentral:rRNA from 1 species